AUGAACGCUAGCGGCAGGCUUAAUACAUGCAAGUUGAGGGCGAGCAUGAUAUACGCGAGUAUAUUGAUGGCGACCGGCGGACGGGUGAGUAAUAGGUAGGAGACCUACCUCAUACAGGGGGAUAGCAUAGAGAAAUCUGUGGUAAUACCCCAUGAGGUUAUAUGAAUAGAGGCAUAUAAUCAAAGCAUAAGCGAUUAUGCGGUAUGAGAGGGGCCUACUGACCAUUAGCUAGUUGGUGAGGUAAGGGCUCACCAAGGCGAAGAUGGUUAGGGGUUUUGAGAGAGAGACCCCCCACAUUGGAACUGAGAGACGGUCCAGACUCCUACGGGAGGCAGCAGUAGGGAAUAUUGGGCAAUGGGCGAAAGCCUGACCCAGCCAUGCCGCGUGAAGGAAGACGGCCUUAUGGGUUGUAAACUUCUUUACUACGCGAAUAGAGGUUAGUACGAGAUACUAAUAGGAAGGUAGUGUAGUAAAAAGCACCGGCUAACUCCGUG
rnacentral:rRNA from 1 species